rnacentral:lncRNA from 1 species
CCUAACAAUUAUUGAUACCGGAGGGAACACCCGAAGGAAUGAAGUAGUUGAAGUUGAAUGUAACAGGAGGGUAGUCACCGUAGUAUAAGGUGGCAGACUCUGGCAUCCAACCAUUUGUUCCAAACCUAACAAAGAUCAUAUUGCAGAUUUUGCCUAUACAAUCUCCAUGUACCUCAAAUGGAAUCAUUGUGCACUACUUGAAAGAUGAAAUCCCUGUAUUAGGAGCCGGACUUGAAAGAAUCUGUCAUUAUGUACACAAGCAUGGAUAUCAAACCAAUAUUCCAUAUAUAACUCCUUGUGUUGCAUAUUUAUACAUUUCUGUAUAUAAGCUAUUUUUAUAUUGCUCAAAAAAGAAAGCUAUUUUGUGCAAUAAAAAAAAUUAGCAUCAAAUAUGAAUGCACAAAUAUGAGAGAGAGAGAGCAAAACGAGAGUAUGAGUGAGAAAAUUAUUUAAAAAUGAUUGCACAAAUAUGAUUUCGCCCGCAUCCAUUGAUAUAGCCGAAAAUCAAAAUUAAGUGGACAAUGAAUCAAUUAAAAAAGGGGUCAUGACAAUAUUAUUUGACCGUUAAAAAACAAUUGUGCAAUGAUGACCAGUACACAAUAGAUAACAAAAACAAAAUUAGAAUGAUUUUUUUUUUUUGAUAGAGUUCAUAUUAGACAAUUC